CUGGUCCGCCACUGCCACAUCUAAGGGCAGCGCGCGCGCGCGUGUCUGUGUGUGUGUGUGUGCGUGUGUGUGGAGUUGGCGAUCGAGGGUCACGCGCAGGUGGCUCUGCGGCGGUGGUGGCGGCGGUCGCAGAGGCGACACCGUUGGAGGCAGAGGCAGAGGGCCGGCCGGACCACCAUCCCUGCGGGCGGGGACAGUCAAGGUGUCAAUAGUACAAUCUUCUAGGGCAAGGAGAGAAAAAGGAGUGCAUAACCUCGCUGGGAUGUCCAGGUGGGUGUCUGCAUCUCUAAGGCUGUUGAGAAGAGAAAUGGGGCAGUGGUGGAAUUGCCUUCAAAGAUGGCGGGUUGAUCAUUAAGGAGAUGCCAAAGUGGGUGUGUAAGGGAUCCACCCAAUAGGGAG
rnacentral:lncRNA from 1 species